GGCUUUAAAUAGGAUGGUGGUGUGCCGGAGCCGCGCAGCUGGAGUGUGCAGACUGGUUGUGUGACCUAAGGAGUGCGCCUUGAGAUGUGGGACUCUUGGCUCUUCCUUGAGAACCGACCCCUCUGCCCCCUCUUUCAGCGCCUCCGCUCACGAGUGCAGCACGUGGAAACGAUCAGCGACUUGCGUCUGCAACGUGUGUGAGACAAUGGAUGUGUGCCACUAUGUAUACUCUCCCCCUCUCGGCGGCCCAGCUCUCGUGACUUCCCGGUCUCUGUUUCACCCUCCCCUCCUCCUCCUUCUCCUACAAGUUGGGUGCCUCCUGCCCUGCUGGGUGAGGAGGGUGGGGAUUGCUGCCGAGAACACCGCGUCCUUUCCCCGGCUCCCGCUGGGGCGGCUCCACCAGCCCUUUCCUUAUGUAACCCGCCACGCACGUUACCAGCUCAGAUGCCCGCCCGCCACGACUCCAGAGGUCAAAGCCCCGCCGGGUUGCUCCUGACUUUUCUACCCCGGUUCCCCGGGCCCUGCGCCCUUAGUUCUGUGUUUCUUAGCACAAGAAAAGGAGAGUGGGGGACACAGGUUCGAGCCCUGGUCGAGGAAGAUCCCACGUGCUGCGGAGCAACUAAGCCCAUGUGCCAUAACUAUUGAGCCUGCACUCUAGAGCCCGCAAGCCACAACUACUGAAGCCCACUCUAGAGCCCGUGCACCACAGCAAGAGAAGCCACCGCUAUGAGAAGCCCGCGCACCGCAACCAAGAAUAGCACCCGCUCGCCGCAACUAGAGAAAGCCUGCAGCAACAAAGACCCAAAGCAGCCAAAAAUAAAUAAAUAAAUUUAUAAAAAGAAAAAAA